rfam:Schistosoma curassoni strain Dakar, Senegal genome assembly, scaffold: SCTD_scaffold0000265
AUGCAGCUGAAGAGUCCCAAAUAAGACGAGACGCGCGUCCCGUAU